GACGGUACCUGCAGAAAAAGCGCCGGGCUAACUACGUGCCAGCAGCCGCGGUAAUACGUAGGGCGCAAGCGUUAUCCGGGAAUUAUUGGGCGUAAAGAGCUCGUAGGCGGUUUGUCGCGUCUGCUGUGAAAACCCGAGGCUCAACCUCGGGCCUGCAGUGGGUACGGGCAGACUAGAGUGCGGUAGGGGAGAUUGGAAUUCCUGGUGUAGCGGUGGAAUGCGCAGAUAUCAGGAGGAACACCGAUGGCGAAGGCAGAUCUCUGGGCCGUUACUGACGCUGAGGAGCGAAAGGGUGGGGAGCAAACAGGCUUAGAUACCCUGGUAGUCCACCCCGUAAACGUUGGGAACUAGUUGUGGGGGCCUUUCCACGGUCUCCGUGACGCAGCUAACGCAUUAAGUUCCCCGCCUGGGGAGUACGGCCGCAAGGCUAAAACUCAAAGGAAUUGACGGGGACCCGCACAAGCGGCGGAGCAUGCGGAUUAAUUCGAUGCAACGCGAAGAACCUUACCAAGGCUUGACAUACACCGGAAACGUCUGGAAACAGUCGCCCCUUUUUGGUCGGUGUACAGGUGGUGCAUGGUUGUCGUCAGCUCGUGUCGUGAGAUGUUGGGUUAAGUCCCGCAACGAGCGCAACCCUCGUUCUAUGUUGCCAGCACGUUAUGGUGGGAACUCAUGGGAUACUGCCGGGGUCAACUCGGAGGAAGGUGGGGAUGACGUCAAAUCAUCAUGCCCCUUAUGUCUUGGGCUUCACGCAUGCUACAAUGGCCGGUACAAAGGGCUGCAAUACCGUGAGGUGGAGCGAAUCCCAAAAAGCCGGUCCCAGUUCGGAUUGAGGUCUGCAACUCGACCUCAUGAAGUCGGAGUCGCUAGUAAUCGCAGAUCAGCAACGCUGCGGUGAAUACGUUCCCGGGUCUUGUACACACUACCC
rnacentral:rRNA from 1 species